rnacentral:rRNA from 1 species
UGGGCACUCUAAGGAGACUGCCGGUGACAAACCGGAGGAGGGUGGGGAUGACGUCAAGUCAUCAUGGCCCUUACGGCCUGGGCUACACACGUGCUACAAUGGUCGGUACAAAGGGUUGCCAAGCCGCGAGGUGGAGCUAAUCCCAUAAAACCGAUCGUAGUCCGGAUCGCAGUCUGCAACUCGACUGCGUGAAGUCGGAAUCGCUAGUAAUCGUGAAUCAGAAUGUCACGGUGAAUACGUUCCCGGGCCUU